UACGUAGGGGGCAAGCGUUGUCCGGAAUCAUUGGGCGUAAAGCGCGCGCAGGCGGCCCGGUAAGUCCGCUGUAAAAGUCCAGGGCUCAACCCUGGAAAGCCGGUGGAUACUGCCGGGCUAGAGUCCGGAAGAGGCGAGUGGAAUUCCUGGUGUAGCGGUGGAAUGCGCAGAUAUCAGGAGGAACACCGAUGGCGAAGGCAGCUCGCUGGGACGGUACUGACGCUGAGGCGCGAAAGCGUGGGGAGCGAACAGG
rnacentral:rRNA from 1 species